rnacentral:tRNA from 1 species
GGCCCGUUGGUGAAGCGACUUAACACACACGGUUUUCAUCCGUGGAUUCAUGGGUCUGAAUCCCGUACGGGUCGCCA